AAAAGGCUGGAAGCAGGGAUACCGCCCACACUUUUCUGUUUUAGCAGAGAGGAGAAAGAAUUAUUUUAGUAGAUUCUCCAGAAAAGAGAGGACACUUCUUUCUCAGAAUUCCUCCAAAAAACCAGUCACUCCAGCUGGGAGAAGGAAGCACAGGUUGAACAGCCUGUCUUUAGAUUCUUAGGAGAGUUCAAUUCUAGCCAAACCUCAUGACUGAGAAGUUUGUGGGUUUGUUUUUGUUUUUAAAGAGAGAAGGCUAGAAGGUAUGUGGAUAAGGCAACCAAAAUAUGUUCUCUCCAAACUGCCUCUAUUUCAAGGCAUAUUCAUUUCAUGGUCUUCCCUAGACUGCAGUGCAAAACACCUUUUGGCAAGUUUUGGUGAGUGUGGUCAGAUGUCUGGCUUUAGUUAGAAAGCAGUCAUCCACCAACCUAUUUUAAACUGCCUUAGAGAUAAUGGGCUUCCCAGGUGGUGCUCGUGGUAAGGAAUCCGCCUGCUAAUCCAGGAGAUGCAGGAGACGUGGGUUCAAUCCCUGGGUGGGCCAGAUCCCCUGGAGGAGGAAAUUCCAACCCACUCCAGUAUUCUUGCCUGGAGAAUCUCAUGAACAGAGGAGCCUGGUGGUCUACAGCUCAUGGGGUCGCAAACAGUUCUACACGAAUGAGCACACGCACAAAGAACCCAAUUAAGAGGGUGGGCUCUAGCUUUUCCUAUUGAAGACGUCCAUCGGAAAGGGAUAACCAAGAGAAGAUGUCCAGAAGGAAAGAGGUGGUUACCUUUUGGUCUGUAAAGACCCUACCAGAAUGGGAUAUGGAGAGCUUUCUCAUUGGUCUCCCUGCUUUUUCCCCCCCUUCAUUGGACCCUUUAGGCUCCUAACCUCAGGCUGAGCACACAGUAGGUGUUCAAUAUGUGUUUUGGAUGGAGGUACAAAUGAUGACUAACAGCCAAUAUGGGACUCAGGAUGUUGAUUUCUUCAUUGGACACACAGCCUCUGUACGAAUCUUGCUGACUGACUGCAAAGGAAAUGUCACCAACUGUCAGAGACACAGCAACACAUUGCUCAAGCAUAUGUGCCAGGGAAGCCAGAAACUUGUUAUUGUAUGCAUGAGAAAUCACAACCAACACAGCCAAAGAAAUUCUCUUGGAUUCUUCACCAGACUCCAACAAUGUAUUUAUAUAUGUUUCCUCCUCUCGUGAGUUGACAAGGUCCUUAAGGUCAUGGGGCAGGAUUAUAACCCUGGCUUGGUGGUAUUCCUCCCCCUGUGCCUCC